UUAAUACAGAGAUGCUGUGAAUAUAAAUUUAUAUAAUGCAAAAGUAAGUUUAUUUCAUAUGCUAAUUUAGAGGCUUUCUUAAUAUGUUUAAUUAUAAAGAAAAAAAAAAGCGUUGCAAUUCUUGUUCACUGACCAAUGGCAAAGCAGACACUUUCUACUUCCGGUUGUGGAGGGAUAUUUGUGAAGUCAGCACUCAGCAAUGGCGGUUGAAAAGAAUGGUAAAGUCGCAAAGAAUACUGUUUGUUCGUGGAUUGGCGUUUGUGACAGAAUCCAUCGAAGUUACUAAUUAUUUGAAGAAAUCUGGGGAGUCAGCGGGGAUGUUUCCAUAACCGGCACUUGGCGAAAUUGCAGAUUUGGAUUUUCUAUUUCAUAGUUAUUGAAAUCGUAAUGAGAAUGAAGUACUGCCACUAAGGUAAAGGUGCUAACUUGCAAGGUAAUUUUCUAUUCUACAUUAACUCAAUCUUUAUGUCCUGUUACAGAUAUAUUGGCAGAAAUAAUGAAAACCUGACAUUCAAAAAGAAAAAUAAUAAUGUUGAAUGUAGUAUAUUAGAUGGUUAACUGAGGUUUGGCAACUCAUUAAUAAUCUUACACAUAUUGAGUACGAAUAACUUUGACAAUUACCGGUAUUUUCAAUAGUAUAAAAUUAGGCAAGAAAGCAGUUUUAGCUUAGCACCGAUUUUAAAUACAACUCUCUUACCAAUAUUGGUUUGACGAAGGUAAAAUAUAAUUGAAUUUAAUAAGUUGGAAAUACUGUCUGUCUUUCCAUGAGUUAAAAAAUAAUUUCAAAUAAAAUUUCUUUUUUCAGUUUUUCAUGUUAUUUGUUUAAUGUUAUUGUAAUCUGA